CACCGCGGUUAUACGAGAGGCCCAAGUUGAUAGUCACCGGCGUAAAGAGUGGUUAGGAAGCACAUUAAAAACUAAAGCCGAAUAUUCUCAGAACUGUCAUACGCACCCGAGAGCAAGAAGCCCCACUACGAAAGUGGCUUUAACCCCUUCUGACCCCACGAAAGCUGAGAAA
rnacentral:rRNA from 1 species